GCCACUGUAGCUCAAUGGAUAGAGCAAGCCCGUCCUAAGGGUUAGGUUGGGGGUUCGAUUCCCUCCAGUGGCG
rnacentral:tRNA from 1 species